AUCACAAAAGAGAGCACACCAGAACCUCAUGUCCGCACCAUAAGCCAUUCACAAACCAUGGCUGCCGCCAUUUUUCAUCUCAUCUCCAUAGCUAGCCACCAUCAUCUUCACCAUCGCAGCAAUUCACCUCUUGUAAUCGUGUAUCGCAUCCGGCAACCACUGUAUCUAGGAUAACGGAGUUCGAGCCACGAGGAGGUUAGGAGCAGAGAGGGAGUGGAUUGCUAUUCUGAACAUCAAUGAUAGAAAAGUUUAGUAUGGUAGCAUGAAGCUAAUCACUGGGGAUUGAUGAGGUGUAGUUCUUAAACACCCAAUGUUUUUAUCCGAUUUAUCUUAAUGACUGAGGUAUACCCAUGCGAUGGAUGGGGCCUACGGUUGGACAACUAAAUCUUGAAGCAAGGCAUGUUUCGGUCAAGACGUAAUUUGAACACAAUCCCCACUUCGGGUCUUUGUAAGAACGUCUUAAUGGUUGUUUUCCAGAGCACAAAUUAAGAUCGUGAUGAUCUCGAUCACAAAAAUAUAGUUGUAAGAAUCAAGGCCUCAUACCCAUGCCAAUUUUUAUUUUAAGUGUUUUCGGUAGCAACUGUGAUCACAAUCCGGUCCAAAAAUUAGAAAUUAAUA